AGAAAACUUCAGCUUUUCCCGGUCAGCAGAUGUACACAAGUCUAGUUAGCAACAUAGAAAGCUAGCACUGUAUCAGACAAAGACUUGUUUCUCUGAGUAAAAAAAAAAUAAUAUCUCAAUUUUCUUCUGAGCACAUUGUAAAACAACUACAGCUGCUCUUAGGAAAAAGGCAUCAUGGAUAGCUCCACAUCAGUGUCGAUUGGGAUAGCCGUGGCGUUUGGGAUCUUGGGAUUGUUCGUGCUGAUCUGUUUGGUGCAGCUCUGCAUCAAGAAAAUCAAAUGUUGCGAUUGCAAAAAGCCUUCAGUGAAAGACAAAAUUUUAAAGAAAGUUGGGAUUACAAAAUCUUCACCUCCGUUUUCAAUCAGCAGACUCGUUGACAAGAAAUAACGGCCAUCAAUGCUCAUAUGACAUUCUCUCAAUGUAAAUACAUAGUGUACAUACCCACCUUUUUUUAUUUUACAACACCUGUAACUAAAUAUUUCCAUAUUAUUAUGAAAUCUGUCGAAUAUUAUUUUUUAUUUCUGUGAAAAGUGUGAAUAACGUUUCUGAGGUAAAGAUGUCAGUGAUGUUAGGGAUGUUGAUGAGUCAUAACUGUUUAAGAUCAUUUUCCCACAGCUAGGGAAAAAACAGCACACCUUCAUUGCUCUAUGCGAUCGCUUCUCUUGUUGUUUUUCUUAUUCUCUGACAUUCUGUGAAUUUUGUCACUGUUUCAGUGUCACCACAGAAACAUAACACAGCCUUCUUCUCAAGCCAAACUGUUUCUAAGUAAAAAAUAAUGUCAAAGGUCACCAUAUGCACUGAUGAAAUAUUAGUCUCUUCAGUCGCAGUAGAAAGAUCACAAUAUCUUCAUUGCGAUUUAUAAGUCCUCUCUGGUGAUAUAUUUCCUGUUAAGCAACAUUAUGUAUGUGAUGAAAUAUUGAUCUUGACUCUAUAAUAAUAUCUGAUUGUAAUUUUUUUAAAGGAAUAUGUAGUCAUAUUUGGUCAGAUUUAUUAGUCUAGUAUAUUAUCCUCUGUACAUAUGUGUGUGUGUGUGUGUGUGUGUGUGUGUGCAUGUGUCUUCAAAUAUUAUCCUUUAUUAGUUGUUUAAUGUUAUUUUUCAGUUCAACUUUCCACUCAAAUUGUUUUGUUCAUAUUCUAUAAAAAAAUAUUCAAUUUAUAAAAUUAGAAGCAUUUUGGACCCCAUUGAACAUUUCUGUUGUGGUUCCUUUUCCUCUUUGUUCUUUGGUUAUCAUCGUUGUUUUUCAUUUGAUUCAGUUUAUGGCAGUGUCUCAUAGCAGCGCACUAAACCGCAAGCCAAACAGAGCUUCAUUAGCUCUUUAACUCAUGCAACUCAUGCAAACAUCUAUAGAGGCUAUUUGCUUCAUGAGCUGGCAAGCAACAAGAAAAGCAUUGCGGUGGUCUGUAGGAAGUGAGAAACAGCAGUUAACAUUUGAGGUUCAACAGCUUUUUAUACUCAGUGACUUUUUUGAGACCAGGCCUGUCAGAAACAUCUGCUGGUCAUGCAAACCCCACAGGAUGAUUAAAAAAAAAAAAAAAAAGCCUUUCUUUAAACCACACAGACACUGACAUGCUACAGUGACUUGACAACUUAAAGAAACACUAAAAAUAAAAUUCUGUCAUUACUUACUCACCCUUAUGACGUUCAAA